rnacentral:lncRNA from 7 species
CUAAUGUAAAUCACUUCAUGGUUCUUUUCUUUUCCUUUUUAAAUUUCCCUUUUCUUUUCUUCUUUCCCUUUCCCUUCCCUUCCUUCCUCUUGGUUUCAAGAGAAUUUGUGGUGUAAUUCCAACACAGGACUUAAAAAAUUGGAAAAAUAAUAUUUAUCUGUUUAAAAUGAUCUUCCAAGUUUAAGCUAUUGGGCACGAGUCACUUCUCUGAUUUUAAAGGAGCUAACUUAUGAUGAGGAGAGAGGUAUUCUUGGUUAAGAAGCACAAUCAAUUAUGGGACACUGAGGAUCUGAAUAUUACUUCUGAGUCACAGUCCUAUUUGUUUUGGUGAAUUAGUACAUGACUGAACAAAAUAAUUUCAGCUGGGUUAAGCAAAACUGCAUUACUUUACAUGACCUGGGAGACAAAUAUACCAACAAGUAGUAAAUCAAAGUUUAACUACUAAGUGAUUUAAGAAGCUGUUUCAAAAAGCAAGCAGUGUGCUUUUUGUUUUAGAGUAAAAAUGCUGGUGUUUCAGAGGGAGUGGAAGAGAUUUUUCCCAUUACUGUAUUACAGCACAUCUCUGGGUGCUGGAGGGGGGAGAAUUUCUAGGCUAUAAUACUGAACAGUGGCUCUGUUCUUUACCAUAAAGGUUCCAAGUAGUGCAAAGCUGAGAAAGUUGAGCUCAUUGGUUGGGGACAAAAGAUGUUCCCCAUUCUUCCUUCUCUAAAAAUAUAAAUUUCCUACCAUUCUAAGACUAAUUAAAAAAAGUCUUCCAGGGUCAGUCUUUUGUUGGAUGCAAGUCAACAUUCUGGGACAGAGGGGACAGGAGGUAGGAGCUUGCACACAGACUGUAACUAAACCAGACCAACUUGAUGAAAGUCUGCUUCAACUAAAAAGCUGAUUCAAUCCAUCAUUGGGAAUGGUGUAUUCUCCAAGACAGGAGAGGCUGAUAUCCUGGGAAGGAACAGAGGAGCAGAUCGUCUACCUGUAGAGGAACUACCUUCCUUGAAAGGAGGAAUGACUUGAUCAGGUUGCAGAAAUAGCAAAUGAAGCCUUGGAACACUUUACCAGUGAUCAUGAUUCUUUUGUAUGUGUCUCUGGAUCCAGAGCUGGCUCCAAAUGAAAGGAUCUUGGGUUAAAUUAGACAGUAAAACAAACUCUGUGGCUGAGGUGAAGAAUGAAGGGAUUUUAGAUCAAGGACUGAAGGCUGUCUUCAGCAAAGUGAAUUUUAGAGUUAUCACUUCAUAACAUGCUUUGUUUCAUCUUUGUAUAAAUUCACGUAGAUGUCACUGUAUUAGUUACAGUCAUGCUUCAAGAUAACUCCUUCAAGAAAUGUACUUAAUCCUGCUCCCAUGGCCUUUCCCCUGUUGUCAAAUAGAAAUCAAACCAAAAAGAACUUUUUUGAUAAUUAAACACUUGGAUAAUUCUGCUG